GACGAACGCUGGCGGCGUGCCUAAUACAUGCAAGUUGAGCGCUGAAGGUUGGUACUUGUACCCACUGGAUGAGCAGCGAACGGGUGAGUAACGCGUGGGGAAUCUGCCUUUGAGCGGGGGACAACAUUUGGAAACGAAUGCUAAUACCGCAUAAAAACUUUAAACACAAGUUUUAAGUUUGAAAGAUGCAAUUGCAUCACUCAAAGAUGAUCCCGCGUUGUAUUAGCUAGUUGGUGAGGUAAAGGCUCACCAAGGCGAUGAUACAUAGCCGACCUGAGAGGGGGGUCGGCCACAUUGGGACUGAGACACGGCCCAAAAUCCUACGGGAGGCAGCAGGAGGGAAUCUUCGGCAAAGGACGAAAGUCUGACCGAGCAACGCCGCGUGAGUGAAGAAGGGUUUCGGAUCGUAAAACUCUGUUGGUAGAGAAGAACGUUGGUGAGAGUGGAAAGCUCAUCAAGUGACGGUAACUACCCAGAAAGGGACGGCUAACUACGUG
rnacentral:rRNA from 1 species